CAUGCUCAGGAUAAGUGGGUUUGUGUUUGCUUCAUGAUCCAAGCAUCAUAGUUUUUGUGUUGCUGCGGUUUUGACAAGUUUCUGGUUAUGCACUGGACUUGUUUGUGGCAAGGUCUCAGAGAGGGAUUUUGGGAUUUUGGAAUUGUUUUGUUUGUACUUAGCUCUUGUAAGUGUUGAAUAGAUUUGGGUCAUCCAUUUUUGUGGGGCCCAAAAAUAGGUUACCCAGAUCUGUUUGUGACAUGGUCUCUUCAGAUUUUUGAUCUUUGGAUCUGUUGUCUUUUAAAAUGAGGCCUUUGGCUGUCCUGUUUGUGUUUCUUCCUCUGUUUGGUUGAUUGAUUGAUUAAAUCUGUGUCAACAAUCUUGAGAUAUAAAUGUUAGUUUAAUGUGUGCAGGAGGUAAAUAAGAUGUGGGCAGGUUUUAGGUUAUUACAGACGGGCACGAUAUCUACUAGAGAUGAGCUCUUUUUUUGACUCUUGUGCAUCUAGAUAUUUGUAACACUAUUUGAUAUGAAUCUAUUUCUUGUUGGAUUUCAUUUGGUAUUUAAAAAUGGCAUUCUUAAUGGAUAGGAUGUGCUCUUUCAAGUUCAUUGGUUGACAGCGAUGCUAACCAAUUUCUUAUUCUCUAUGGCAAGAGACUCCAUGUGAGCUACUAAGCAGAUUCUGACGCUGUAUCUACUGAAUGGGAAGUUGAGAGUGAUGAUGAAAGUGAGGAAGAAUCUAAAUGUGGGUUAAGAACUUUGGUUGACAUGCCUCUUAACAGUUUUCCAUCUACAGUUUCUAAAGAAACUUUUGAACUCAAGAUCAAGGCUGCGGCAAAGAGGAUCUAUGUUGAUGUUGCUAUGCUCUUAGAACUAU